UACGGAGGGGGCUAGCGUUGCUCGGAAUCACUGGGCGUAAAGGGUGCGUAGGCGGGUUAUUAAGUCAGAGGUGAAAUCCUGGAGCUCAACUCCAGAACUGCCUUUGAUACUGAUAGUCUUGAGUAUGGGAGAGGUGAGUGGAACUGCGAGUGUAGAGGUGAAAUUCGUAGAUAUUCGCAAGAACACCAGUGGCGAAGGCGGCUCACUGGCCCAUUACUGACGCUGAGGCACGAAAGCGUGGGGAGCAAACAGG
rnacentral:rRNA from 1 species